UCGCAAUCUUUUUCUUCAAAACUGGAUCUGAAAAAGAUGAGGCUCUCUGUUAGCCACACAAGUGUUCGACCUCUAUGAGUAUCUACUCAAAAUCAGUCUAGAAUAGCUCUCUAUAAUUUAAAUUUUGAUUCUCUAAAAUUUAGCCUGCUGAAUCUGAACGAAGCCUGGAUUGCAAUCAACACUUAAUCUUUCUCCUUGAUCUUUUGCUUCUCCUCUUCUCUAAAAUUUUCUCUUGCUAUGUGCUGCUACCAGAUACUAGAA
rnacentral:lncRNA from 1 species